AAACCCUUGUAAGGCCAUGCCACCCCCUCUUCUAUAAAUGAGUCGGUGGCUCCCCUCCAUUUCUUUGAAUGGGGCGAGCGGCGAGGGCUUUGGUUUUGGGUGAGAGAUGCGAAGGGAAAGAAAGAGAAUCUAAAUUCUACACUGGAAGCAGCCAGAAACAUGUGGAUGAAAGAAAAUCUGAGGGGACCCUGAUGUCCCAAUUAAUAAUUAUAGUUUUCAAUCUGAAUUCGACGGCUGCUCGUGUUUUUUCUUCGAUUUCUCUCCAUUGUCUUGGCCUUCCCUCAAUGCCUCCUUCCUGGACCUUGUGAUGUUUGCUUUUUUACAGCUCUGAAGAAACAUAUGGUUACAAGCACUUUUGCGACAACGAAAGGCCGAGUUGUGCCCUUUGUCAGCUAUCCAAUCAAACCUCAUACUUAUUGGAUUGGUGAUCUGGAUGUUAUCCUGUAUAUAGCAGUGGGCAUAAUCAUCCAGAAGAAAAUUGUCCCAUACUUCAAUAACUUAGCAGUUUGCAAGAAAGAAGGGAACAAGUAGAUGUGUCAAUUUGGUAUUCAACGGCUGUCCAAAAUGCAUCAGAAGAGCCCUGGAAAAGAGUCCAAAUAAUGCAUCUUUCAAAAAUUUGGACAAAUCUGAGAAAUGCAAUGUAUCUGUCUAAUGAUUCGACAAGGCGUGGUGCUCUGUAGAUAUGUAGAUAUUACAUAGCUUUUGCGCUCACAUUUUCUUAUCUUCAGUUGGAUGAUAUUCAACAUGAUAAUUAGUACAUACAGCUGUACCUUUUUGGUGAUGCCUUGAUUUCUAUGAGAUUUGUGGUCGUCUUGGUGCAUCGUUUUUCUUGGUAUUUGGGACCCACUCUGUGAUUAUAGCAACAAUUGGUUUCCUUAAUCUAUUAGGAUCUCCUCUUAAGCUGGAGUUUUUCUUUAUUGUGCCCAGUUCUGGAGGUAUUGGAAGCAUAGAUUCAGCAUUAAGCUUUGCUCUCAGCACAUUUAAUAUUCACGGCACUACAGUUAGAAGAACCUUAAAAUCUUCAAUGCUAAUGCUCUACUUUGCCAUCAAUUGGCCCACCUUCUGAAACUAUAAUUCAGGCCAGCAAGCCUAAGCAAAUCAAAUUUUGGUGGCCGGGCUAGUGUGGUUAUUAGUCAGCUCCCGCUGUGAAAUGUUUCCAUUUGAAUAUUAUAAAACAAAUUCGAACUUUUGGUGCAAUUUUAUUCUGAUUUGAAAGUAUAUUAGUGGCUUCACCUUCAGCUUCCAUUGACUUUGUGCUCCACGAUUGGUUCGAGAUAGUGUUUUUCAUUUUCAACCUAGAUCAAUGUUGAAGUGUUUGAUUGUCACAAUUAGACUAUUUUUCAAAUAUAAAG